UGCAGGCUGUGUCGUGUGCUGUGUUUCUUCUGUGUAGGGUGUGACUGGCAGGUGCUACUGCACAGGUGUAGCUCAUCUGAGAGCAAUCAGCUGGGCUUCAUAUGGAGUGGAAACCCAGAGGGAGGUGUCAGCGUGUUUUCUCACUUGAUCUACUUUCUUCCGAAGGAGGCUGUGAAUCUUUCUGGUGUCCUGUUUUCAUUCGUGUCAUGCUCAGAGGAGUGUGGGAACUCUAGCCUUGACGCCUCAGCCCUGAGCCUCCACUCUGUUUCCAAGCCCAGCUUCUCAAGAGCCGCCUCCACCUAACCUCUGAGGAUCAUCAACCUGCCUGUCCACUCUCCAACAUUAACUCUCCAACUACUGUGGAGUUUCCUGGAAGAGAAGAAACGCGAGCGGAGAAACAAAACAGAACUGUGCACUUCCUGUCAGCCUCAAGCCACCGUGGAAAAGACCUAUUAUUCCCCUUGGCCUCACCCAAGACCUCACCCCCUAGAGAUCCCGAUCUUGCCUGCUGCUCCAGUCCUGGUUUCAGUCCGACCUUAGAAACUGUAUCUUAAUAAACUGUUAAAACG